UCUAAUAUGGCAGAAUAGUGUAAUAGAUUUAAGCUCUAUAAAUAAAGAUAAAACUUUUAUUAGAA
rnacentral:tRNA from 1 species